rnacentral:rRNA from 1 species
CAACUUGAGAGUUUGAUCCUGGCUCAGAACGAACGCUGGCGGCAUGCCUAACACAUGCAAGUCGAACGAGACCUUCGGGUCUAGUGGCGCACGGGUGCGUAACGCGUGGGAAUCUGCCUUUCGGUUCGGAAUAACAGUUAGAAAUGACUGCUAAUACCGGAUGAUGUCGCAAGACCAAAGAUUUAUCGCCGAAAGAUGAGCCCGCGUAGGAUUAGCUAGUUGGUGUGGUAAAGGCGCACCAAGGCGACGAUCCUUAGCUGGUCUGAGAGGA